GACGAACGCUGGCGGCGUGCUUAACACAUGCAAGUCGAGCGAGGCCCCUCCUUCGGGAGGGUGUCCUAGCGGCGAACGGGUGAGUAACACGUGGGCAACCUGCCCUCAGCUCUGGGAUAACUCCGGGGAACCGGGGCUAAUACCGGAUACGACCUCCACGGGCAUCUGCGGAGGUGGAAAGUUUUUCGGCUGAGGAUGGGCCCGCGGCCUAUCAGCUAGUUGGUGGGGUAGUGGCCCACCAAGGCGACGACGGGUAGCCGGCCUGAGAGGGCGACCGGCCACACUGGGACUGAGACACGGCCCAGACUCCUACGGGAGGCAGCAGUGGGGAAUAUUGCGCAAUGGGCGAAAGCCUGACGCAGCGACGCCGCGUGAGGGACGAAGGCCUUCGGGUUGUAAACCUCUUUCAGCAGGGACGAAGCGAAAGUGACGGUACCUGCAGAAGAAGCACCGGCCAACUACGUG
rnacentral:rRNA from 1 species